GAUGAACGCUGGCGGCGUGCCUAAUACAUGCAAGUCGAGCGAACAGAUGAGGAGGUUGCUCCUCUGACGUUAGCGGCGGACGGGGGAGUAACACGUGGAUAACCUACCUAUAAGACUGGGAUAACUUCGGGCAACCGGAGCUAAUACCGGAUAAUAUAUUGAACCGCAUGGUUCAAUAGUGAAAGACGGUUUUGCUGUCACUUAUAGAUGGAUCCGCGCCGCAUUAGCUAGUUGGUAAGGUAACGGCUUACCAAGGCAACGAGGCGUAGCCGACCUGAGAGGGUGAUCGGCCACACUGGAACUGAGACACGGUCCCGACUCCUACGGGAGGCAGCAGUAAGGAAUCUUACGCAAUGGGCGAAAGCCUGACGGAGCAAAGCCGCGUGAGUGAUGAAGGUCUUAGGAUCGUAAAACUAUGUUAUUAGGGAAGAACAAAUGUGUAAGUAACUAUGCACGUAUUGACGGUACCUAAUCAGAAAGCCACGGCUAACUACGUG
rnacentral:rRNA from 1 species